UAGGCUCUGUGUGAGCCUGUCCUAAAAAAGAAAUGUCCCAUAUGUCAGACCAUAAUGAAUAAAAGGAACUUAAAAAGGCACAUUGAAAGGAAGCACAUGGCCAAACAAAAAGACAUAACCGCCACAUCCCACCUUGACAUUGAGUGUGUAGAUCCUGAAAAUGGGAUCUAUACUGUCCAAAAAUCCUUGCUUGGGACUAGUAACCCGCUGCAUGUAAGGAAGAAGCUAUGGGGGGAAAAUCAGCAGGUUCUUUGUGAAUCGUCAGAAUGCCAGGUGAACAUGGAGCUAGUAUGGAGGAGUGGGCUGAAAGCUUACCAGUGUAUUCACCUGAGGUCUAUAAAUUACUGUUCAUCAUAUGUUGCCAGUCCAACAUUACAGGAAGAUAUACUCAAAGAGAUGGUCCAAAGCAAGUGGUUUGGGAAGGACAAAAUGAAAGUAUGCCUUGAUCAGCAACUACUUGCAACAAAUCAGCACAAACCCCUUUCCAUACAAACCAAAAUUGGAACGCCUGAGACCAACAUUUUUAUCUCUGUUUAUGAGCCAAAUAUUUCAUACUACAGCCGGCUGGAAAGAGUGAUCGUCUCAUAUGACACUAAAAAGAAUUCAUGGCACUGUGCAUGUACAAAAUCAACAAGAUCGUGCACACACAAAUACAUAGCAAAAUGGCAUUUAUUACAAACAAGCCGCAGUCUUUUCCGAAAGGUAAGGAGCACCGAUGUUGAGGAAUGCUUUGACACACCACCAGCAGAUGAUGAACAUGGCGAGGAAGACAAAAAUGUGUGAUAUCCUCCAUGUGAUCAUGAGAAGUUGAAACUUAUGGUUCAGUACAUCCUAAAAUUCAAAAAAUACCUGCAGUUCUCCCAGAACAUGUACUGCAUCCAGGAAACAAAAACUACCCAAAGCAACUUAUUCUGGAGGAGAUGAUGUGCCCGCACUGCCCAGGAAAUGUGCCGUUGAGUGACCCAGUCCUCAUAACAAGUAAGGGGAGGAUUCUCACCAGCACAAACAUUGUGCAAGAUAUCUAUAUCUACAGCAAAAUGUGCCCUGAAUGCGGGACCCAAUAUCGGUACCAAGAGUGGAGAGAUGGGCUCCACAACUUUAAUGAUCAAAUAGUAUUCGACCUCCAGCUGUGUCUUGACAUCAGACACAUGUUGCAGCAAGCGAUCUUCCACAACCCCCGUUGGAUUUCACUGGAGAGGUUGACCUGGAUUCCUUUUGGGAUACACUGUCAAUGGAAAGGAUCGCCCGUGGAUUUGUAUCAAGUCACCAAAAUAAUCCUUUUAAAGUGGAGCCAUCUUUUCACUUUUGGGCCCCUUGGAUUGGGAAGAGUACUCGGAGGUCAAACGUUGCUAUCAACACUGAAUUCCAAAAGAUCCGGCAUCCAAAGCCAGCUGAGGAGAGAGAGAUAACGGUGUCUGAGGACAGACUUAAAGAAGAGCUCUACAAGCAGAAGGUUCCUGUCAUCCGGGCAUUGCGUAAGGAGUGUGGUUUAGAUUCACCGGCUCGCGCACUGACCUUCUCGUCAGACUUUCGGACGAGAUGAAGUCCAGGGAAUCCUAUGAGUCUUCCAAAAAAUUUGGGCUGCUUCAGGAGGCUGGGCUGUGAUCAUGUGCCCGUGUGGCAUAGUUUAUAGCAUUAAAUGUAAUAUCCGUGCAGAAAGCCCUCGUGAUUUCAGUGACAUGCUCCUCUCCUGGAAGCACAUACCAAAUAUAGUCAUUUAUGACUUUGCACGUGGAAUGGAUCCAGGGAGGUUGCCCUUCAAACCCUUUGAAGGACGUCUUAGUGAAACAACUGCAGAAAAUAUAGCCCUGGCAAAAGCUGGGAAGCUGAAGGUGUCACUGCCUUGGCUAAAUGUCAAAAAACAAGUCCCAGACUGUAAUGCUCAUCCAGCAGCAGGCUCAGCUGAGCAUUAUGAGCUAUAUGAUCGGUUUCAUGAGGAUAACACAAAAGAUCCCAGAGAUGAGUUGAGAAAGCAACUGGCUGGUAAAGUUAACAGCCAAGUUGCAGAACAGCUAUUUGCAAAGAUGAAGAAGAACAAUUACUUCUUAAACAUGGCUUUGCCGUCGACCCAUCUCUUCCUCAUGAGAAACAUCAUUCAUCACCAUAAUGCCCAUAAGAACAAGCAACGCCUGGACCAAAUUACCAAGGUUUUUGGAAACGGGGUAGCUAUGAACAGCUAUGGCCAAGCAGUUGUCGGUACUUGAAUAUCUAUUUUCAGUGCAAUACAGCUGUUCUGUCUUGUUAUUUGUACAGCUUUUUUUUUAUAAACUGUGCUUAUUUUUAGGGAAUCUUGCAUUUUCAGAGACAUCUACCACUGUUGAACCUGUUCCAAUGGACACCUGA